UUCGGGGGCCUAAUACAUGCAAGUCGAGCGGGACAGAUGGGAGCUUGCUCCCUGAUGUUAGCGGCGGCACUUGGGUGAGUAACACGUGGGUAACCUGCCUGUAAGACUGGGCAUAACUCCGGGAAACCGGGGCUAAUACCGGAUGGUUGUUUGAACCGCAUGGUUCAAACAUAAAAGGUGGCUUCGGCUACCACUUACAGAUGGACCCGCGGCGCAUUAGCUAGUUGGUGAGGUAACGGCUCACCAAGGCAACGAUGCGUAGCCGACCUGAGAGGGUGAUCGGCCACACUGGGACUGAGACACGGCCCAGACUCCUACGGGAGGCAGCAGUAGGGAAUCUUCCGCAAUGGACGAAAGUCUGACGGAGCAACGCCGCGUGAGUGAUGAAGGUUUUCGGAUCGUAAAGCUCUGUUGUUAGGGAAGAACAAGUACCGUUCGAUUUUUUUUGGUACCUUGACGGGACCUAACCUGAAUGCCACUUCUAUGGGGGGGGGGGGGGGGCGCAGUAAUACGUAGGUGGCAAGUGUUGACCAGAAUUAUCGCCCUUAUUGUGUUGGGGGGGGGG
rnacentral:rRNA from 1 species